AUUCAAAAGUUUAGAAUUGAAUCUUUGUAAGUUUGCAGCGAUGAAUACAAAAGCAUUUCUAUUUUUGUUAGUUGCCGUUUUUACGGUUGCCUUGAUUUCCGAUGUUAUGGCUGAUCCAUCAGCUGAAGCAAACCCUGCUUUGCUCUCACGAUCUAAGAGGGAUCUUUUACAGGAUAUUAUUAAUUACAUUCUUUCUUUAAUUCCUGUUCCGAUAAAAGAAGCCAUUUUGGAAGAAAUAGAAAAUAUAAAGGGCUUUAUGUCAUUAUUAUUUUGAACUAAAAUGCACUUAAGAUAAGCUAUGGUAUAAAAAGAUUGUGCUUAAAUGAUUGUGGCAUAAUAUAAUGGUAAUAUUAUCUAUGGUAUUAUAAAAAACACAAAGAUGUUUUUGAUGUAAAAAUUGAAUGUAAAAUAAAUAAAUAAUAUGCAA